GACGAACGCUGGCGGCGUGCUUAACACAUGCAAGUCGAACGGGCCUUGUCCCCUUUUUUUUUGGGGGUGGGGUUAGUGGCGAACGGGUGAGUAACACGUGAGUAACCUGCCCCUCACUUCUGGAUAACCGCUUGAAAGGGUGGCUAAUACGGGGUGUUCUGGCCUGCUCGCAUGGGUGGGUUUGGAAAGAUUCGACCGGUUUUGGUUGUUUUGGUGGGGGAUGGGCUCGCGGCCUGUCAGCUUGUUGGUGGGGUGAUGGCCUGCCAAGGCUUUGACGGGUAGCCGGCCUGAGAGGGUGGGCGGUCACACUGGGACUGAGACAUGGCCCAGACUCCUACGGGAGGCAGCAGUGGGGAAUAUUGCACAAUGGGCGAAAGCCUGAUGCAGCGACGCCGCGUGAGGGAUGGAGGCCUUCGGGUUGUGAACCUCUUUCGCCAGUGAAGAAGGUCCUGCUCUUUGUGGUGGGGUUGACGGUAGCUGGGUUAAUGAAGCGCCGGCUAACUACGUG
rnacentral:rRNA from 1 species